CACGUAGGGUGCGAGCGUUGUCCGGAAUUAUUGGGCGUAAAGAGCUCGUAGGCGGUGUGUCGCGUCGGCCGUGAAAACCUGCAGCUUAACUGUGGGCUUGCGGUCGAUACGGGCAUCACUGGAGUUCGGGCAGGGGAGACUGGAAUUCCUGGUGUAGCGGUGAAAUGCGUAGAGAUCAGGAGGAACACCCGUGGCGGAAGGCGGCACUCUGGGUCGCAC
rnacentral:rRNA from 1 species